rnacentral:pre_miRNA from 1 species
UAUAAAUCUAGUGGAAACAUUUCCACACCAACUAGAUUAUGGAUACCAGUGUGCGGAAAUGCUUCUGCUACAUUUUUAGG